rfam:Chlorocebus sabaeus isolate 1994-021 chromosome 19, whole genome shotgun sequence.
UCUGGGCAUGGUGGUGUGCACCUGUAAUCCCAGCACUUUGGGAGGCCGAGGUGGGCGAGUCACGAGGUCGGGAGAUCAAGACCACAGUGAAACCCUGUCUCUGUUAAACACACACACACACACACACACACACACACACACACANNNNNNNNNNGUGUGUGUGUGUGUGUGUGUGUGUGUGUGUGUGUGUUUAACAGAGACAGGGUUUCACUGUGGUCUUGAUCUCCCGACCUCGUGACUCGCCCACCUCGGC